rnacentral:tRNA from 1 species
GGUGGCUCAGUGGUAGAGCACUUGCCUUGCAUGCAUGAAGCCCUGGGUUCCAAUCCUCAGCACCA